rnacentral:rRNA from 1 species
AACUGACGGAAUAGUUGGUUGAAGGGUGUAGGAGUUGAUCUGAGUAGGCAAAUCCGCUCGGAGAUCCGAACCUGACAGUACUCUGAGUGCUUGCACAAGGAGAUAUGGACAACUGUAACGGUGCUCCCAAGAAAAUCCGCUAAGCAUAUUGCAUGAUUACCCGUACCAUAAACCGACACAGGUGGUUGGGUUGAGUAUACUAAGG